UGCAUAUCAAUAAGCGGAGGAAAAGAAACUAACAAGGAUUCCCCUAGUAACGGCGAGUGAAGCGGGAAGAGCUCAAGCUUAAAAUCUCUGUGCAAGUUUUGCAUGGCGAAUUGUAGUCUAUGGAUGCGCUAUCAGUACAGCCGCGCGGGCCAAGUUCCUUGGAAGAGGACAGCAUGGAGGGUGAUACUCCCGUUCCUGCCUGUGCGUGUUGUGCGUACGAUGCGUUUUCUUUGAGUCGCGUUGUUUGGGAAUGCAGCGCAAAGUAGGUGGUAAAUUCCAUCUAAAGCUAAAUAUUGGUGCGAGACCGAUAGCGAACAAGUACCGUGAGGGAAAGAUGAAAAGAACUUUGAAAAGAGAGUUAAAGAGUACCUGAAACUGCUGAAAGGGAACCGGGUCGUUGCCAGUGUCUAUAAUCUGCGGCAUAUUUCAUUGUCGGAUGCGGCCGUGCGGCGCGUUUGGUAGUGGGUUCGUCCUGCACCGCGUGUUGCUGUGGUUGUGUUUGGUGGUGCCCUGUGCUGUGGUGGGACGUCAGAGUCAGUUCGUAUGCUGCGGGAAAUGGCUGCUGGGGAGGUAGGUCGGGGGUUCGCCCUCGGCUGUUAUAUCCUGGUGGACUAGUCGUCGUGGUUGGGACUGAGGUGCCUACAACGUGCUUUUGAGUGUGGAGGUUUCUUCGUUUGCGCGUCGGUUGGAUAGCUUGCUAUGCAGUUGGCGUUGUGUGCGGAUGGAUGUCUUUGCUAACUUGUUGCCGUUCGGGACUUGACGAAA
rnacentral:rRNA from 1 species